UCAGAACGCUGGGUGUCCAGGUCCGCCGCUCCGCCUUCCGCCAUCUUCUUCCACUAGCGGUAGCGGAGGCGGCAGCGACGGCGGCGGCACGCCCCGGAGCAUUGUGGGAAUGGCGUCCGCGGCCCCGCCCCGCCGGCAGCCCAACAGAACCAAGAAGUAAUGAUGCCAUUCACCCGCCCUUCACUCAGAACUGCUGAAGACCAUAGCCAUGCAGAAAAACAAGCAAAAAACAAAGCCACAGUACUCUUCAGCUACACUAUGCUCAAGGGUGUGGGCCCUUGUCAAAGAUGUCAGUUCAGCCGUCAGUUCACAGCGUACGUCAGGCUGAUGAGAUCAUCUCGGAGCCCUAAUUAGUUUGUAUCACAGUCAAUAAAGUGGUUGCACGCAGUGUUUCACUUAUUAGUCACACAAAUAUCGGGUCUUCCCUGUUGCUUUCUGCCUCAUUCCUUUGCGAUAGGGAGUCUCUCUGAAUCUAGAGUGCGCCUCGUUUCAGCGAGACUAGCAGCCACCACCUGCACUGCACUCCGUCACAGAAAUGUGACUCAGUGAGGGAUUACUACAGCUCAUUUACAACGUACUGUCUUCCAGUUGCUUCCUUGAGUUGACCUUUUCCACUGGAAUCUUCAGUUAGUGGCUGCCAUUUUCUUUUUUUAUUUCAGUAUGUGUGUAUGUGUCUGUGUAAGUGUGUGCACGUGUGUGUACAAACAGAGGCCAGAAGAGAAUAUCAGGGGUCUUCCCUCAUUCUCCACUCAUUUACUUGAGGUAGAGAGUCUCUCUUUGAACCGGAGGCUUGCAUUUUCUUGGGUAUGUUGGAAGCCAUCAAGGCGCAGUCAACCUCCUGCCCCUGCCCCACUUGGAGCAGGCAUGCUGGGAUGGGAUAGGCAUGUGCAUGCUGCACUCUGGUCCUCAUGACAUCACAGCAAGCAUCCCUACUUGUUACUCUCUUGGACUCUGUACUGUUCUUGUUCAUUAAGAACCCUAGGGACUUGGGUAGGAGAAAGGAGUUCAGAAUAUUGGGUGCUUUAGAAGAAUGACUUUCUGAGUAAAGUGGAUAACUUGUAAAAUGUGCCAGUUUUGAAAUUAGAGCUCUUCUGGGGAGAAUUUUUUCUCAUCUUGUAGUUGCUCUUUUUUUUCUACUCAUAUUUGAACAGUCCCUUGUUCAACCUUGACAGAUUUCUGUUCUGAGCAAUGGAGAGAUAAGGCUUCACAUAUAAAUACUCCAGAAGAGAAUAAGGCUUAAAACAAGGUGUCAGUUUUGCAAAACAGCAGCAGCAGGUUCUCCAGAACCUUUGACCUUCUCUGCCACCAGUUCUUGGCCAGUUUUAUAGUACUAGGAGUGAGUUUCACGCUGUGGAGCAAACAUCAAGUCUAAUAGGAAAGUACUUGGUUACUCCCUGUGAUGGUUUGAAGAGGCUUGGCCCAGGGAGUGGCACUAUUAGUAGGUGCGGCCUUGUUGGAGUGAGUGUGUCACAGUGGGGGUGGGUGUGGCCUUGUUGAAGUGGGUGUGGCCUUGUUGGAGGAAGUGUAUCACAGUGGGGGUGGGUGUGGCCUUGUUGAAGUGGGUGUGGCCUUGUUGGAGGAAGUGUGUCACAGUGGGGGUGGGCGUUAAGGCCCUCAUCCUAGCUGCCUGAAAGCUAGGCUUCUCUUAGUAGCCUUCAGAUGGGGAUGUGGAACUCUCAGCUCCUCCUGCACCAUGCCUGUCUGGAUGCUGCUAUGCCUUGAUGGUGCUGGACUGAAUGAACCUUUGGGUCUGUAAGCCAGCCCCAAUUAAAUGUUGUCUUGUAAGAGUUGCCUUGGUCAUGGUGUCUCUUCACAGCAGUGGGGCGUUCCUACAGUUGUCAUGCUACUAUUGCAGCAGUCGCUGCAUCUUACCAGAUAGGUAAUUACUGUGGCUCCUGGGGUCCACAACUGGGUAAGAACAUUGGUGACUGACUCCCACCCCUGCAAGGUGGCUAAAAGUCAGGGCCUUGGCAUUAGCCUGUAAUGUUGUGGUGGCUUCUGGGGCUUUCUGACCCAAACUUAUAGGAAGGUAUUCUACACCUAGUACUGGAAUUUUCAUCUCAUAAACUUUGGCUUUUAGAAAGUGUUAUCUACUUACACCUAUGAAACUGUCAAAGUUUUUGUUUGUUGGUUUUUUUAAUUAAUUUACUUACUAUAUAUAAGUACACUGUAGCUGUCUUCAGACACACCAGAAGAGGGCAUCAGAUCUCACAUGUGAGUCAGCAUGUGGUUGCUGGGAUUUGAACUCAGGAUCUCUGGAAGAGCAGUCAGUGCUCUUAACCAUUGAGCCAUCUCUCCAGCCCUAUUGGUUGGUCCUUAAAGAACAAUCCCCUACACAACACCAACACACACACGCACACACACACACACACACACACACACACACACACACACGGUAAGAGGAGCAUCUUUUUAGUCUGGGAGGAACAGAGAAAAUAUAUAAUCGUGUUUAUUAAUGAAAUUAAAUGGAAGUAAGGACAAGUGUUAACCAACCAGGCAGUGUACACUAGCCGUUAUGAGGCCCUCAACACAUGUACAGAGGAAGUCUGCCUGUUCUGGCCACAGUGAGAGAAAAAACAUCUUAACUCUGGAGAGACUUGAGGCCCAGGGAGUGGAGAGGUCUGGUGAGGUGGGGUAUGACGGGUAGUAGGGACAUCCCCUUGGAGACUGGGGAAAGAAUGGGGUGAGGAACAGUCAGAGGGCAGACCGGAAGGGGGAUAACGACUGGACUAUUAAAAGAAAAAAGAUUAAACAAUAACAACAACAACAAGUGCUAAGAUUAACUUUGCCAACUUUACAGUUUUAUAGUCCUGGCUCGAAGAGCUGAAGAGAGCAUCUACCUGAAGUCUCACGUUUCUCUUCUCCUCGCUUCUUCCAGGAGUUGUUCCCUCAUGUAACCCCGCCACCGCCCACGCAUUCUCAUUCAUCUUUCAAACCCUUUCCCCUGUUAUAUAAUCUUGUAACUUCCCCUCUCCUCACCAGCUCCCUGAACAGCCAGGAGACGCUGAAAAGGCGGGGGAGUAGUGCAAACACCGAAAUAGCGUAUAGUAAGAUGCUUAAUCUGUUAAUGAUAUUUUGAAACUGGGAGUGUGAAUAAAAACUGUAAGCGCCACGACGCCACUUUCAAAGCUUCACAAAUAUCCCCGCUCCUCUGUCAAAUGUUAGGCUCUGAUAAAAAGAAUGAGAAGGCAGUGAAAGGAACACAGUGCCCCCACGCCAGACUACUUGGGUUUUGACUCUGGCUUGGUGCCACUCACAUACCAAAUACCUUUGCCAAGCUAUUUAAUCUCUGUGGGCAUUCGUCUUCUGUUUAUAUCAUAAGGUGAUUAAAAGCAUCGGCUAAGGCGCAAGUGCUUGCAGAGUUCAGAUAUGCCUCAUAUAAAGGGAUGAGGCAACCUCACAUUGAGGGAGCGCGGAGUCUGGGGACUCCACUGAGCUACGUGCCCUGCUAAAGGUAUUAAAUAGAACCAGAACCGAGAAAAUAUCUCCUGCUCUAUAAGAGCUGGGAAGUUGAAUUUUGACACGAGCCUAAGUCCUACAGACUGGUGUUGGCUGCUACUUGUACCCGCGUUCCCCAAAGCGCACACAGAAUGACUUGGGAGGUUACACUUCACCUAAACGUAGGCAGCAGAAUUCCUAUACGUCUUGCCAAAUGAUGAGAAAACCAGGCUGAUUUUCAAUCAAAUUAGAUCUAGCCUGAUAGGUUUAAAUCAAUAGCAAAAGAAUUUUAAUAGAGAUUAUAGUCUCUGGGUUCUAUAUAUUUUAGGUGAAAUAUUGGCCUACGGCGGGAAACUUUUCCAAAAAGGAAAUAAGUUACACUGUCCAACCAAGAGCGAUGUAAACCAAAUCAAAGCUGGUAAUAGAAAAGUAAACUUUUUAAUUAAAAAAUGUUCUUAUUUUACUUCCUGUGUGAGUGUUGUCUCUCUGUAUACGUACAUGUAUGUGUGCACCAUGUGCAUGCCUGGUCCCUGUGAGGGUCAGAAGAGGGUGUCAGACCCUUUGGAAGUGAAGUUACAAAUGGUCAUGUGACUUACCAGGUGGAUGCUGGGAACUGAGUAGCUGGUGCUCUUAGGUGCUGAACCACCUCUCCAACCUCUAUUGUAUGUAUUUUGUUAUUUACCUUAAUGGAUAGACUUUAAGGUUGUUAAGAAUUAUAUAAUAAUAAUUAAUAACAAUAACAAUGAUAAACUAGAAAUGUUUAAGUAGCAGCCUCUGGCUCCUUUCCCAAGCCUCACUCAGUGGACAGGGCACAGUGAGCUAAAUGAUUUAGGAGAUGCUAACCUCGAGCGUUUGAGCGUUUACAUUUGAACAGUCCAUGACUUUGACCUUUUGUACUUCAUCUUUUGUACUUUUAUCAUCUCCUCCAAGAGUCUGACAGCAUUCCUGUGCGGGCGAAACCAUGAAACCCAAACUACCAAAGCGAAGUAGAGACACUAACGAUGCACUGAUUCAGCAAAUGUUCAGAUUCCAGAGAGAUUAGCAUUGUUUUUCUCCCAAGAGAGGGCUGAAUUAUUCAGCUUUUCUGUUUGGACAGUCCUUCUCUUCAUUUGGCUGGAGGAUCGGAAAGAUGUAAACUGCUUACAGAGAGUUUUAGAUGAAUAUAACAGUAAUUAUUAAAGUUAUGUGUGAUCCAAUACUUUUGGAACAUUGAAAAGGCGCUUUUCACAAUACUGCCUUCCCAUUGACACUCAGCAGCGGACACUUGUAAAAGUCACUUUUGUUCACCUGGUGUAAUUGUCAUCUCUGAGGCUUACUGCCUCGGUCAGGGAACCUAGGCCUAAUCCUGGAAGCUUCUAGCCUCCAUAUAAUCAUAUCCAGGCCUAGAAUGUUUCCAGCCUCUGAGGAUUACUGCUGAAUAAGCUCACCCUUUUUAGGUUUUUCUGAACUCUGGCUGGCUGGUCAACCCAGCUCAGAAUUCUGGCUCAAACUCUUCUCUGAGCUGAUGGAUUGGAGCUGACUUCUCUCUCAGCCUCUAACUCAAUUGCUCUGCUUGGUCUCAAACUAAGUCUGGCAAUUUGUUCUAAUCUUUUGGCUCCUUCUCACUCUCUGGCUUGUUCUGUCUUCACCUGUGUCUAGCUUGUUCUCUCUCUGCAACUUGUCUCUUUAUAAUGUCUCUAGUUAAACAGCCUCCUUCCUUCUCUGCACAGACCCUUAAGUAGCUCCCUUUUCCUCUUUCUUGUGAGAGCUGGGCAUAUCCUAUUCUGUCCAAUCUUUGCCUGAUUCAUCACUUUGUCUGCCACUCAAUUUUAGAUAUCACUUUCAAACAUGGGUACCUCAUUCUGCAAACUAACUUUAUCUUCAUUGUUUGGGACUAAAGUUGUGUUCUAAGGGCUGACCCACACCACAACAAGAAACAAGUUUUUUCAGUAAAUAACAUGGUCUCGGGGGUCAUGGUAUGAUCAUGUAUCCUACAACAGACACUACUAAACAUACAGCAGGCUUGGUGAUAUUAUAAAAAUAUUUCUCAUUGUUUUGUUUUACCGGUCAGUAUGUUUCUCUGUAGGACCUCUUGGAUUAUGUUAAUUAUGUUUUUAUAAACUUGUGAUGGUCCAAGACUGCUAUAAUCUGCUACUAGACAGAGCUUCUCCAACCAAAGAGUCAUGAGAAGGGCAAGGAAUGAUUGUAUACUUCUAUAGAAAAUCCAACUUCUUUAAUCAUAUACAUUUCCCCUUCUGCAUACUAGUACUAAAAUACUGGAAGAUUUGGCUUGAUUUGUUUUAAAUGAAAAAUAACUUCAUAUUUGUUCAAUACCUGAAUUCAGUACUGAAUAGGAAGUUACUUGAAGACCUCAGUAUACACUGCUAGAUUCCUACUAAAUGCAAAUGUUUGAACAACUUAUAUUCAUUAAGAUCACAAAAUUCUUACAUAAUAGCAAACGGUUUAGUUAAUAUCAGGUAGAAAACUAAUAGACCAUAUCAAAGACAUCCAGCUAUUGAAAGUGUUAAAAUGGAUAGUAAGUAUAACUUUACUCAAAAUGAUUUUUUGUGUGAAGAAUUCUUGUUUUGCCUUGUUUUUGUUUUUAUGAGACACAGUUUUGGCAUCAGGACAGCAUGGCAGGAAUGUACCAUGUAGCCCGUCGACUGACUUCCACUUAUUGAGUGUUGGGAUUAAAACCUGCGCUACAAGGCGAAGUCUGAAGAAUUCUCAUGGAUAAAACAAUGCCCUUAGAAGCAGAUAGUGGGGACAGGAUAAAGCAUAUUCUAUACGUUUAUGAAUAUUCUCCAAUUAAGCCAUAGCAUGACAGAUAAAAGACAUGAUUUUACCUUGGAUUGAUUGCCUGGAAGGUGGAAUAGUGAAUCUGCAAUGAUCUCCAUGUUCUAAUCUCAGAACUAGUGAGUGUGGUAGAGUCAUGGCUUAAAGGGACUUUGUAGAUGUGGUUAAGAUACAGACCUCGAAAUGAGGAGUUAUCCAAUUGAGUCCAGGCUAACCACAAAAGGAAAUGAAAUGUUUUCACUUGUGCUUAUAAGUCGAGAAGAACAUGAGGAAGUAGCUUAGAAGAAGGGACAAAGAGCCAAUCAGCUACUGAGGCGGAUGCCCUUUUAGAAGCUGGAAAGGGCCAGGCAAUAUGAAUUCCCUUUCAAAUUCACCAGUGAGGAGCACAGUCUCGCCAAUACUGUAAUUUUAGCCUCAUUAAUUUGCGUCAGAAGCCUAAGUGACAGUGCUCUGCUACAAUCUCUAGUCACGAGGCGUUUGGCAAUUCAUCGUUGCAGCAGUAGAAAACUAAUAAACUGCACAACAGAGUACCUCAGGGAAACAAAAACAAAGCAAGAUCUAGUCAGGUUUGAGAUUAGUCAUUGUAUGCACUUAUCAUAGUACUAAACAGAUGCGACGUAUCGUAGACAAAAACUAAGAAGAAACUGGAUUGAUAUUCCCUGGGUUACAAGUCGAAAAAAAUAUGGAAGACAUUUCUUUUUAGCAAUUAGCUCUGAAAAGGACAAUGUGGAGAGCUAGGGCACAUACAAGACUCUGGUGAAUAUGGGAUUAUUUUAACAUUCAGAGGCAAUGCCAUUGAAUUUCUAGAAUCAAAUAUUAGUAAGUGGCCCUUAACAAGGAACGCCUAGAGCUUAUAAAUCAUGCUGAGUGUAUUUCAGCUGGGCGGCAGAAGCCAAGGAUAAGUAACAGCUGAUAGCCAAAGAGUUUCUAGAUGAGCUUCCGCAGUACAAUGGACGAUGCACCGCGCACUACAAUGGACGAUGCACCGCGCACAAGAAAUUCUGAAUUCUAAGAAUUCAGUCGAUUCUCUGAAGCAAGCCAAGGGAGUUAGAACCUCAUGAACCUCAUUGUAUUAGUGUUUGCCAGGAGAAAAGAAUCAACAGGUCAUAGGGAUAGACGGUAUAGAAAUAUAGAAAGGCAGAGAAAGACAUUUAUUAUGGAAGAUUGGCAAUUUAGAAGUCCAUAUUCUACUGUCCCUAAACUGGAAAUGAGGAAACUGCAAGUUCUUUUCAAGCUCAUAGCCUUGAGAGCUGUAGAAACCAGUAACGUUAACUCCCAGUUUAAAUCUGAAGGCUCAAGUACUUGGAGAGCUAAGCCUUGAAGACAAGGGAAGAUGGAUAGCCUAUUUCAAGCAGAGAGACUUAUCACCUCCUCCACCUUUUAGUUCUUGCCUGUCCCUUAAGAGUUUCAGAUGCUGUCUGCCCUCAUCGAAGCUUGAGCAAAGACCGUCUCUAGAUGGAGAACUGACAGCAAAGCAGAGUUAGGAUACCACUAACGACCAGGUCAGGGAACAGAUAUCUGCGCGGUACGGAGCAGAGGUAAGAGGUUGCUCAUUGGAGCACAGGUGGCUCAGGGGCGCUGAGUGAGCAAAGGCCCACUCCAGCACGGCUGACGAUGUGCGUGCGAAAGAUGAGCUCUCUGCACAUCACAUGGGCAGCUCUACAAGGUGGGGAGCAUCCUCACUUCAACAGUCUGUAUUGCUCACAAAACCUUGGUGGAAGAGAGAGCUUGGGUGUCUGGUAAGUUUCAGCGAGCUCUUGAGAUUUAAGGAUAGUUACUUCCUGAAUCUUUUAGAACUUCUUGAGUUGUAAUGAGCUUCCUCCAGGAGGAAAUAUUUCAGUUUGGAGGAAAUUGCUAUACAACAUAAGAAAAAAAGAGCAGCACCAAGAUCCCUGUGUUUUGACUAGAGCAAUGAUUGAGGUAAAACACCCUUUAGAUCAGUUGUUUCUCAACCAUCCUAACCCUGCUCGACCCUUCAAUUCAGUUCCUCAUAUUGUGCUGACCCCCGACCAUAAAAUUAUUUUCAUCACCACUUCAUAACUGCGCUGGCUACUGUUACGAAUUGUAAUGUAGUUCUUGAUAUGCAGGAUAUUCGAUAUGCCACCCCCGUGAAAGGGUCAUUUGACCCACAGGUUGAGAACCGCAGGUUUAGACCGUAGCGUUCCCCCUGUUUUUGAAUGUCAUUGUACAGUGAUGCUGUACAAUGAGCUUCUCUAGGUCCUUGGAGAGAAAAACAACUGCUAAGCUUUUUUUUUCUUUCACGAGAUGACGAUUAAACUGCAAAAUUAAGACAGGGAAGAGCUGUCAGACUUUCAGAAUGAAUAGACACCUCCCAAAUUUUCUACUGUUAAUGUGGUCCACGGUUGAAAACACUAAUUUCAGGUUGUUGAAACAAUUCUGAAAAGAAACAAGAAUUGGAUUUGGUGGCUUGUAAUCUCUGCCCUGGGGAGGGAGGGCAAGACCAACACAAGGUUGAAGCCAUCUUAGUCUUCACAGAGAAUUCCAGGCUGGCCCACAAGGUAUGUAGUGGGAGUCUGUUUCAAAAUGCCCAUGGUCCCACCUAGCACUCUUCUCUUACCCUCCUUUCAAAAACAGAGUGGGUGGAGAGUGAAAGGAGGGAACGUUAUUUGCUUCAAGGAAGUGAAAGUUCAAAUGGGAAAACAGAAACUUUGAACCCCUGUGUGGUAGUAGAGAGCCAACCAAGAGAAGUUGUGAGCAUUAUGGCCCUGAGCUCUGGGCAGGCUUCGGGGUGCCAGGUAAGGGGGUAAACAGUGGGUGUUUCUGCUCUCUGAGGGCCUUGGGUGCCAACUGAGAGAUUCUUUGCAGAUGAAGUUUGCAGAAAACAGGUUUCUGAAGAGUCCAGGAGCUGUAGGACUCCUUUCUGUGGGAGGUCUCUGGAGUUGCAAGUCUUAAGAGGCAGCAUGCAGUUGCAGAAAGAUCGUGUUUCACCCAAGCGUAGGGGCUUGGUGGCUGCAGUGUGAAGGGGUUCCCCUGCCUGGUGCCUCUGGUGAGUCCUGGAGACUGGAGCAGUGAGAGUCUUCCAGAGUUCUUUCCGUGAGUCAGAAGCCUCAGAUACGAUGAACUGUAGUGUCUUCUUUCUCAGAAGAGUGUGGAGCUGGGCUCCUGUGAAUGGGGUGCAGGCGCAGAUACAGUAAGUUCAAUAAAUAAUACAUUUGCCUUUAGGUUUGAAAAAAGUUUAAUGCUCUUUUGUUUUGUUUUCCUUUUUAUUGAAAAUGGUUUUCCUCCCUCAUAAAAUGUAGCCUAAUGACCAGUUCCUCUUCCUCUAACCCCACUUCCUCCUCAUCUCCCCUCCUACCUGGAUCCACUCCCUUUCUGUCUCUCAUUAGAAAACAAAUGGGCUUCUAGGGGACUAUGACAAAAUAAUAAUGUAAUAUAGCAAUAUAAUAUAAUAAAAAUGAACACACUGGGUUUGGACAAGACAAACCAAAGGAAAAGGAAAAGAGCCCAAGAGAAGGCACGAGAAACUAAGAAGCCAUAAUAUUUACACAGGGUACCUGGUACUGACCAGUGCAGGCCCUGUGCAUGCUGCUCCAGUCUCUGAGAGUUCAUGAGAGCUUUUGAUCAUGUUGGUUUAGAGAGCUUUGUUAUUCUGGUGUCCUCCAUCCCCUUGGGCUCUUACACUCCUGCCCCGACAAGGGGGAAUUUGAUAAGACACUGUUUAUGGGCUGAGUGUCCCAACGUCUCUCACCCAAUGCCUAAUGUCUGACUGUGGGUCUCCAUAUUCUUUCCCAUCUACUGCAGGAAGAAGCUUCUCUGAUGGCAGCUGAGAAAGACACUGAUCUACGGGUAUAGCAGAAAGUCAUUAGGCGCCAUUUUAUUGCUACUUUAUAUUUGCUUUUGUUUUUAAGAAUAGUAGUAUUUGGUUUUACCCUAGCUCCCUGGGCUAUUUAGCCUCAGGCUCUAGAUCACCCAAGCAGUGUCAGGUAUGGGAUACACCUCAAUGAUGAGCCUUAAGUCAAAUCAGACACUGUUGGUCACUCCCACAAGCUUUGCACCACCAUUGCUCUAGAACAUCUCGCAGGCAGGAGAGCAUUGGAUACAUGUCUCUUAUGGUAGCCUGCAGAGUACCUUCCUGUACCAAAGACACUAGAACCUAAAGGUAAAUUUAGGCACCGGCUUGACCUCUCUGUCUUCAGUGAGUUUUACGGCAGUUGUCUUCCAUAAUGGGGCCUCACUGUCAGUUUGUGGAGAGCAGCCCAUGGUCUUGGCAACAGCCAGGGUUAUUUGGGGAUCCUUAUGGGAGCCAAGAGGCAAGCAACUCAAUUAAAUGUGACCCAAUUCAGGGUCCAGAAGCUUCAUUUGGUGACAAGAGAUGGGCAGUUGGGGGCUCUGUUUCCCCCAUUAUUUGAUAAUUUCAAUUAGAUCACCUUUGUGUACGUCUAUAUCUUAGGAAGUUUCCACUGUUUGUUUUUAUACUGCCCUUUAAUUUAAUUUAAGCCGUUUUUCCCCAUGUUCUUUUUCUCAUUUGUCUCUUCUCUUCACCUCUUCAAUUGACCCCCACUCCAGGUCCCCCAUAUUUAUCUAUAACUACUUAUUGUUUCCCUUUUGUAGCAAGAUCUCCCCACCCCUUUCCUAUUCUAUACAUAACCUCUGUGGUUCUGUGAAUUGUAGUUUGGUUAUCACGGACUUUCCAGCCAACAUCACAUGGAGGUGAACACAUCCCAUACUUGUCUUUCUGGUAUACCUCCCUCAGGAUAUAUUCUAGCUCCAUCCAUCUAGCCGUGAAUUUCACCAUUUAAUUUUUUAAUGGCAGGAGACUGCUCCAUUGUAUUAAUGUGCCACAUUCUCUUUAUCCAUCCUUCUGUUGAGAACUGUCUAGGCUGACUCCAAGUUUUGGUAAUUCUGAAGAGAGCAGCAGCAACAGCACUCUGUUAAAGAAAGUAUAUGAGCUUCAAGUAUAGAAAGAUUCACUUAAGGGAACUUACAAGGUUUUAGAAAACAAACUUUCACUUAUUACAUAUUUAUUAUCAUGAUGUAAAAGAAAAUUUAUGUGAAGUAAAAAGCAAGUGACUGUGUAGGUUAUAAAAACAGUGUUUACUAUUUAAGAAUACACCUGGACACCAUAAAGUAAACUUUGGAGUGCCUCAAGAGAAAAACAAAAGCCCUUAGAUCAGGAAGAAAUGCACCCAAGAAGUGAAAUUUUCCUCCUCCUCCUCGUCCUCAUUACUAUUAUUAUAUUAAAACUUUUUAGAUUGUGAAAUAAUUACACCACCCACCCCUUUCCUUCCUCCAGCCUCUCCCAUGUAUACGCUAUCAGUCACUCUCAAAUUCAUGACUGUAUAUUAUAUUUAUAAAUAUAUAUAAAUACAACUUAGGUCAAUCUGUAUAAUAUGAACCCCCCCCACCCACAAAUAAUGACAUGAUUACAAAGUCCUUUCCCUUGGUGGAUGAUGACAUAGGAGUAAUAUCAUAGAUUCCAGCUUUUAGACAAUCUUCUACUUCUCGUCUACUUAACAUAUCCCCAAAUCAUGUGCAGCUGGCAAAUAGGUAAGGUGGGGGAGAUAAGAGCUGGAGUGCCAAGUGAGGGUCCAGUGACGCUCUUCCUACCCCUUCUACUAUGAAGUGUUAACAUUUCCAUCACCUUUUAAACGACGUACUUUAUUCUUAGUUAUGUAUAUGCCUGUGUGUGUGUGUGUGUGUGUGUGUGUGUGUGUGUGUGUGUGUGUGUGUGUACCCUUUGUUCAGGUGCCCACAGAAGAAAUCAUGAGAUUCCCUGGAGCUGGAAUUAAAGGUGGUUGUGAAAUACCCGACAUGGGUUCUGGGAAAUGAACUCAGUCUUCUGCCAGGGCUGUGUUCACUUUUAACCACCGACCCUCUCUCCACCCCAUGCACUGUUGCACAUAUGUAACAAUCAUUGUCCCCACCAGGCUAGCGUUGUAUCUAUUCCAAGAUGGCAACUGGAUAAACAUGUCAUGUCUGGAGGUGUUGCCCAUGCCCUGGAUUACUAGUCGCCCAACCCUACCUGACCUUUGGGUUGGAGGCAAGGUGGUGCAGAGUCAACGAUAUACACUCUGGGAGCAGGUGAUACUUUUGUGGCUGCAUGGCCCCCAGCGUUUUAAUAGAGAUGGGCCCACCAUUCCUACUACGUGGAGGAAGAAACAAAUCCAUGCUAAACAGCCUUCUAGCAACUUUUCUUAGUAACUCAGUCUCUCCCUGUCUCUCUCUCUCUCUCCCUGUCUGUCUCUCUCUGUCUCUCUGUGUCUCUGUCUCUCUCUGUGUCUCUGUCUCUCUCUGUCUCUCUCUGUGUGUGUGUGUGUGUGUGUGUGAGAGAGAGAGAGAGAGAGAGAGAGAGAGAGAGAGAGAGAGAGAGAGAGAGAGAGAGAAACUGUAUGUUUGUGUGAAGAGGCCAGAUGGUGAUAUUGAGUAUCUUCCUCUAAUCUUAUUUGUUGGUCCUGGGUCACUCACUGAACCUGGAGCUCACUGAUUGGCUGGACUGCUUGUCCAUCAAUUGCUGGAAAUCAGCCUUUCUCUGCUCCAGUGCUGGAAUUUUAGGUACAUAUUGUCAUACCUGGUCUUUAUGUGAAUUCUGGGGAUCCAAAACUCAGGUCUGCAUGUUUCCACAGUAGGUAAAGACUUUAUCACCUGAGCCGUCUGCUCAGCACCCGUAGCUAUUUGAGUUGAGACACAGUAAUUGCUAAGAAUUGUGUGAUGAUAAAUAUUUUUAGUAAAUGAAGUGUGAAGGUAAUAUUUUGUUGAAAGAGAUGUAUUUUGUAUAAAAUAUCUAACUUAAAGCUUGCUAAUAACCGAUUAAAUAUAAAUGCUACACAAGUAUAGACAAUGAAUUUUGUAUAGCACACGAGUGUAGGGAGGGAGUGAGUUCCUGAGUGAAUGUACAUUGUUGUAUGGACACAGCCAUGUCGAAGACCCCAAUACCUCAUCCCCAUCGACAUGGCAAGGCCUUCCUUAGGGGAGACUCACAGAGAUGGCAAAGCCCUCUUCUGCUCUGAUCGUGAAUAGUGACAGUGUGUGCAGACAACGCCCAUCACAGUUUUCUCCCUGCAGAUGCUUACAGCCUGAAGAUUGGUCCUCUACAGAGACUGCUCCUGCUGAGGCCUAAUUGUUCAUGGAUGGAGCUGUCCCCACUGGGCGGAGCCUUCCUAGUCAAUCAUAGAUCAAGACAACCCCUCACAGACAUGACCACAGGCCAAUUGAUGGAGGCAGUUCCUCUAUUAAAUCUCCCUCUUCUCAAGAGACUCUCUGUGGUGUCAAGUUUUUAAUAAAAAAAAAAAAAAGCCAAAUCCCAGGACAGUUGCUACAUGUAGUUCCUUUAUACUUAGGUAAGGGGAAAUACUAGAUAAAAGCAGCUGAAAGAAGAGCCAGGCUUCAUUUUGCUUCACAAUUGAAGGAUAUGAACCAUCAUGACAGGCAGGUCAGGGUGGCAGGCAUGUGUGACAGGCUGGUCACAUUACAUAGUCAGGAGGUAGAACAAAGAGUAGGAUGCCCAGCUCGUUUUUCCCUUCUGUGGAAUGAUGCUGUUCACAUCUAAGGAGGGCCUUGUCACCUUACUGAGCCUUGAUCUAGACAACCUCUCACAGCCAGACUGUCUUAGGUAAGGUUUUACUGCUGUGAACAGACACCAUAAUCAAGGGAAGUCUUACAAGGACAACGUUUAAUUGAGGCUGGCUUACAGGUUCUGAGGUUCAGUCCAUUAUCAAGGCAGGAGCAUGGCAGCAUCCAGGCAGGCAUGGCGCAGGAGGAGCUGGGAGUUCUACAUCUUCAUCUGAAGGCUGCUAGCAGAAUACUGACUUCCAGGCAACUAGGAUGAAGGUAUUCUUAAAGCCCAUGCCCACAGUGACAAACCUAUUCCAACAGGGCCACACCUCCAAAUAGUGCCACUCUCUGGGCCAAGCAUAUUCAAACCAUAACAUUCCUAGCAGCUUGUCUCCUAGGUGGUUUUAGAUUGUGUCAAAUUGACAAUCAGUAUUAAUGAUCACAUUGGAUGUAAGGACCACUGCAACAGCAAACACUAGUACUGAAAGUUGAUGACACUUUGCAAGUGUGCUGAAAAGGCAGUGAUUUUAUUUGGUAAGAUGCUGUUGUCUCAAGACCUCAAAUUCUAGCCUACGAAGAAGUCAAGCAAGAGACUCACCAUUGAACAUUAAACAUAAAAUGACCAUGUCCUCUGCUUGAUCAGACUAUUUGGGAAUGCAUCCAAAGUGUAACCUUGGUUCUUAGAAGGUUUUAUAUGUUCUUUCAUAAACCUAAUCAAUUUUAUAAUGUGAGUGUUGGGUCACAACUGACAUAAUGACAUAAUGACUGUUAGAAUUGUCUUUUUUUUUUAAAGUGCCUAGACCAGUUUAUUUUACUCUUCAGCAUUCAAAGAGAUGUGAUCUGCAAAAACAAAACCUAGGUUACAGAGAUCUUUGACUUCAUUACAAACUACUGUUACUAAUAAAAAUGUACAUGCCUCAAGCUUUUAUCCUCCCCACCCCCCACUGCACACAAAAAACCCCCAACAACAAAAAAACCAAGAACUACAGUUUUAAUACAGGGUGAAUGGUGAACCAGCUUUACAAAUACACAAACAUAACUAACAGGAUUGGAGGGGUAGAAAAACAUCUAAAAGUCUUCUGCAACAAGGAGUUGAGUAUCUUGAUGAAACUAACUAGCCUUUUAAAUUACUAUAGUCCAGGUCACAACUGAAAAUUCCCUGUUUAUUUUAUCCCCAAGAGGAGGAAAAUGUGGUUUUAUAUCUUAUGACACUUGAUUUCUAGUGCAGGAUAAUGUAGGAGAACCCAAUGAGAUUUUCUAUGAAACACAACAGAGGCAACUGUUUUACAAUGUUCUGCCACAGUCAUGGCUCUUAGGUGAAACUGAAUGAGAAGCAGACUUGUGUACAGUGCUGCCUCUUGCCUACUGUGCUGACUCAAUUUGCUCUGGAUGUUAUCUUCUAUAGCACCAUACAGAACACUGAUGUGGCGUGAACACGGUUGGAAGAACUAGUUCUAAAUUGUAUGAAGACACAUCUGUGAACUUUACAUCCCCCUACAACAACUAUGGUUAAAAGAACCAAGGACCACAUUCUAUCAAACCCUUGAAGAAGAGCUGCCAUAAAUUCUCAUCAAAUGCUCAUAAAAUAGAAAGGGGGAGGCUGAGAAGAUGGCUCCGUUGGUCAAAUUCAUGCUUUGCAAGCAUGGGGACCUGAUUUCCAUCCAUAUUACUCAUGUUAGAGAGAGGGGGAAGGAAAAUACUCACAGGGGAAAAUAUGGAGACAAAGUGUGGAGCAGAGACUGAAGGGAUGGCCAUUCAGAGACCGCCCCACCUGGCGAUCCAUGACAUAUACAGCCACCAAGUCCAGACAAUAUUGCUGAUGCCAAGAAGUGCAUGUUGACAGGAGCCUGAUAUAGCUGUUUCCCGAGAGGCUCUGCCAGAGCCUGACAAAUACAGAGGCGGAUGCUCUCAGCCAACCAUUGAACUGAGAACAGGGUCCCCAAUGGAGGAAUUAGAGAAAGGACUGAAGGAGCUGAAGGGGUUUGCAAUCCCAUAAGAAGAAGAACAAUAUCAACCAACCAGACCCCCUCAGAGCUCCCAGGAACUAAACCACCAUCCCAAGAGUAUACAGGGAUGGACCUAUGGCUCUAGCUGCAGAGGAUGACCUUUUUUGGGCAUCAAUGGGAGGAGAAGCUCUUGGUUCUGUGAGGGCUCGAUGCUCCAGUGUACGGGAAUGUCAG